rnacentral:rRNA from 1 species
GAUGAACGCUGGCGGCGUGCCUAAUACAUGCAAGUAGAACGCUGAAGGCGGAGCUUGCUCUUCUGGAUGAGUUGCGAACGGGUGAGUAACGCGUAGGUAACCUGCCUGGUAGCGGGGGAUAACUAUUGGAAACGAUAGCUAAUACCGCAUGACAACAGUUAUUGCAUGAUAACUGUUUAAAAGGUGCAACUGCUCCACUACCAGAUGGACCUGCGUUGUAUUAGCUAGUUGGUGAGGUAACGGCUCACCAAGGCGACGAUACAUAGCCGACCUGAGAGGGGGAGCGGCCACACUGGGACUGAGACACGGCCCAGACUCCUACGGGAGGCAGCAGUAGGGAAUCGUCGGCAAUGGACGGAAGUCUGACCGAGCAACGCCGCGUGAGUGAAGAAGGUUUUCGGAUCGUAAAGCUCUGUUGUAAGAGAAGAACGGGUGUGAGAGUGGAAAGUUCACACUGUGACGGUAUCUUACCAGAAAGGGACGGCUAACUACGUG